GAGGAGGAGGAGGAGGAGGAGGCUUGGCCGUCGGAUUCAGAAAUCGAGACCGCGUUGGAAUGGUUGGACUUGAAAGACGGCGGAGAAGCAGGGGACGGAGCCUUCGCUCCCGAUUCCCGACGCCGGAACGCUCAUGGGAGGGCUUCACACGCGUGCCCAGUCGUCCAUGCUCCAACCCCUGUCCAAUCGGAGCCAAAAAACUCUCCACUCGUAUCCGCACUUCCCCUUUGGAGGAGAGGAAGUGAAGGGUGAAGCAUGAAUGUUGGCAUUUUCACCACAGUGACAGCUUCAAUUUGAGAAAGUGCGCGGGGAUAUGGCAAUUGGUAAAAUUAAAAGUAAUGAGAAGGCUGACUGUGCAACUGUCAAGCAGCUAAAGUACAUUUUUGGGAAAAAGAUUGAUAAGUUGAAUGCUAAAUGUCUGGUAAAAUAUUUCCACUUAAAGUCUCCAUGCUGCAGUUGUAACAACUGCCACAAUAAGGUCUCUUUAUACUAAGAGUAAUCUGCUGCUUGAUCAUCUCAAGACAUUAUGUCCCCUGUAGAUGUAUGUCCAUUUUGAAGAUCUAUUAGAAUUUUCGUCAAUUUCUUCAUUGGCCUCCUUCCUCUUGCUUUGCACCUCUAUCCCAGGGUCAAAUCUUUUGUAUUUGGCAUGAAGCAUCAUUGGUAUUGAUUUUCCAAAUUUGUCAUGCUUCAUGGAUAUACGAUAACAAAUAUAGUUACUUUUAUUUAAUCAUCAAAAGUUAUGAAGUUGAAACGAACCCUAUUGCAAGCUUAAUCUGUCUCUUUCCUAAAUCAUUAUUUGAGCUUGACGUGAUCAUGGCCGGGUAAACAGUCUGAUGGGUGUAUGCAUUGGUUCAUGUCCCCUCUUGUAAUUAUGUCCCAGAAGAUAGAUCACUUCUAAAAGUUAUUACAGUUAUAGUGACCCAACCCGACUUCUAAAAGUUAUGAAGCUAUGGCAGCAUCUCAUAUAAGUUAUCACGGAAUUGUUUAUACGGUUGUGCAGGCCAUUGAUUAGAGGACUCGGAUGUUUCUCUUCAAGAUGUCAACCGUCAAUUAUUUAAUGAUAUAAAUGGUUGCAUCUACACUGGCAAAGAAGUGUGUUAUCAUCUACAGUGAGCAGUACUCGCUGCUUUCUUUUUUCUAUCAAUUGAAUGUGGGCAGAACUUCAUCACAUCAUUGUUAUAAUUUCACGAAUUUACUUGUGAUUUGUUCAUAUUUUUGCCAGUAGAGUGCAUGGUCUUUUGACCCUAUUGUCACUCUGACUUUUGUAAAUGUCUAUCAUGCAUAAAAAUCUGACAGGCAAGAACUGGCAAUCAAAGUUUACAAGACUUCAGUGCUCGUGCUCAAGUAGGUGUGAUAGUCUUAAGUUGUUUGCAAGGCCUCUCCACAGGUGUUUGAAAGUGCAGUACUGCAUUUACUACAUUUUUGUGAAUUUAUUCUUUCUAGAUUAAUGAUUAAUAUACAGGUUCUGUUUUUUCUGAUA